rnacentral:tRNA from 1 species
AAAAAGAUAAGCUAACCUUAAGCUAUUAGGCCCAUAACCUAAAUAUAGAAUUAAUUUUCUUCUUUUUA